rnacentral:rRNA from 1 species
AUUGAACGCUGGCGGCAUGCCUUACACAUGCAAGUCGAACGGCAGCACGGGAGCAAUCCUGGUGGCGAGUGGCGAACGGGUGAGUAAUAUAUCGGAACGUGCCCAGUCGUGGGGGAUAACGCAGCGAAAGCUGUGCUAAUACCGCAUACGAUCUACGGAUGAAAGCGGGGGAUCGCAAGACCUCGCGCGAUUGGAGCGGCAGAUAUCAGAUUAGCUAGUUGGUGGGGUAAAGGCCCACCAAGGCGACGAUCUGUAGCUGGUCUGAGAGGACGACCAGCCACACUGGAACUGAGACACGGUCCAGACUCCUACGGGAGGCAGCAGUGGGGAAUUUUGGACAAUGGGCGCAAGCCUGAUCCAGCAAUGCCGCGUGCAGGAUGAAGGCCUUCGGGUUGUAAACUGCUUUUGUACGGAACGAAACGGCCCUUUCUAAUACAGGGGGCUAAUGACGGUACCGUAAGAAUAAGCACCGGCUAACUACGUGCCAGCCGCCGCCGUAAUAC